rnacentral:rRNA from 1 species
CCUACGGGUGGCAGCAGUAGGGAAUCUUCCGCAAUGGACGAAAGUCUGACGGAGCAACGCCGCGUGAGCGAAGAAGGCCUUCGGGUCGUAAAGCUCUGUUGUCAGGGAAGAACAAGUGCCAUAGUAACUGAUGGCACCUUGACGGUACCUGACCAGAAAGCCACGGCUAACUACGUGCCAGCAGCCGCGGUAAUACGUAGGUGGCAAGCGUUGUCCGGAAUUAUUGGGCGUAAAGCGCGCGCAGGCGGUCCUUUAAGUCUGAUGUGAAAGCCCACGGCUCAACCGUGGAGGGUCAUUGGAAACUGGGGGACUUGAGUGCAGAAGAGGAGAGCGGAAUUCCACGUGUAGCGGUGAAAUGCGUAGAGAUGUGGAGGAACACCAGUGGCGAAGGCGGCUCUCUGGUCUGUAACUGACGCUGAGGCGCGAAAGCGUGGGGAGCAAACAGGAUUAGAUACCCCAGUAGUC